ACGGUGACCCUGAGGUGCAAAACACAAUAGCAAAUCAGAAAACACAAUGGUUAAUGUUGUUGUGUUUUCUGAUUUGCUGUUGUGUUUUGCAGCUCAGGGCCACCGUA